AGUGAACGCUGGCGGUAGGCCUAACACAUGCAAGUCGAACGGCAGCACAGUAAGAGCUUGCUCUUACGGGUGGCGAGUGGCGGACGGGUGAGGAAUACAUCGGAAUCUACUUUUUCGUGGGGGAUAACGUAGGGAAACUUACGCUAAUACCGCAUACGACCUACGGGUGAAAGCAGGGGAUCUUCGGACCUUGCGCGAUUGAAUGAGCCGAUGUCGGAUUAGCUAGUUGGCGGGGUAAAGGCCCACCAAGGCGACGAUCCGUAGCUGGACUGAGAGGAUGAUCGGCCACACGGGAACUGAGACACGGUCAAGACUCCUACGGGAGGGAGCAGUGGGGAAUAUUGGACAAUGGGCGCAAGCCUGAUCCAGCCAUACCGCGUGGGUGAAGGAGGCCUUGGGGUUGUAAAGCCCUUUUGUUGGGAAAGAAAAGCAGCAGGUUAAUACCCCGCUGUUCUGACGGUACCCAAAGAAUAAGCACCGGCUAACUUCGUG
rnacentral:rRNA from 1 species